GUUCGUUCGUUGGUUCUUUCUUUCUCUCUCUCUCUUUCUUUCCCCUUUCAUUCUUUUUUCCUUCCUUCCUUUUUCCUUCCUUCCUUCCUUCCUUCCCUCCUUCCUUCCUUCCUUCUUUCCUUCCUACCUUCCUUACUUUCUUUUCUACUUUUUUUCGUUCUUCCUUCCUUCCUUUCUCUCUUUCUUUCUUUCUUUCCUUGCUUCCUUCCUUCUUCAUUCAUUUAUUCAUUCAUUCAUUUAUUCAUUCUUUCUUUCUUUCUUUCUUUCUUUCUCUCUUUCUUUCUAACUUCCUUCCUUCUUCCCUUCCUUCCAUCCUUUCUUCCUUCCUUUGUUUAUCAUUCUUCGUUUCUUCAUUUCUUUCGUUUUUCCUUUCUUCUUUCCUUUCUUCCUUCCUUUUUUCUUUCGUUCUUUCUUUCUUUCUCUCUCUCUCUUUCUUUCUUCUUUCAUUCUUUUUCCCUUCCUUCUUUCCUUCUUCCUUCCUCCCUUCCUCCUUCCUUGCUUCGUUCAUUCAUUUGUUCUUUCUUUCCUUCCUUCCUUCCUUCCUUCCUUCCUUCCUCACUUCCUUCCUUCCUUUCUUCCUUUCUUUUUUCUUUGUUCCUUCCUUUCUUUUUCAUUGUUCCUUCCUUUCUUCACUGUGUUCCUUUUUCCUUUCUUCUUUACUUUCUUUCCUUCUUUCUUUCUCUCUCUCUUUCCUUCUUUUCAUUCUUUUUUCCUUCCUUCCUUCCUUUUUCCUUCCUUCCUUGCUUCACUCAUACCUUUCUUCUUUCCUUCCUUCCCUUUUUUCUUCUUUCUUUCUUUCUUUCUUUGUCUCCUUCUUCCUUCCUUCCUUCUUCAUUCAUUCAUUCAUUCAUUCAUUCAUUCAUUCAUUCUUUCUUUCUUUCUUUCUUUNNNNNCUCAUCCUUCCUUCCUUCUUCAUUCAUUCAUUAAUUCAUUUAUUCAUUCCUUCAUUCUUUCUUUCUUUCCUUCCUCCUUUCUUUCUUUCAAACUUCCUUCCUUCCGUCUUUCCUUUCUUCCUUACAUCCUUUCCUUCCUUAUUUGUUUCUUUCUUUUUCUUCCUUCCUACCUUCCUUCCGUCCUUCCAUUCUUCCUUCCUUCCUACCUUUCUUCCUUUCUUCCUAUCUUUUUUCUUUGUUCCGUCCUUUCUUUUUCAUUCUUCCUUCCUUUCUUCACUUCUUUCCUUUUUCCUUUCUUCAUUACUUACUUCCUUCCUUCCUUUCUUUUCUCCUUCCUUCCAUCCUUAUUCCUUUUUUGACUUCUUUCUUUCUCCCUUUCAUUCUUUCUUUCUUUCUUUCUUUCUUUAUUUAUUUAUUUAUUUAUUUAUUUCAGUUUUUUCCUUUUCUUCCUUUCUUUCCUUCCUUCUUCCUUCUUUCCUUCCGUCCUUUGUUUCCUACUUUCCUUCUUUCUUUCUUCAUUUCUUUCUUCAUUACUGCUUUCCUUUCUUUUUUUAUUUUUAUUUUUCUUUCUUUUUUCUUUCUUUCCUUUUUUGUUUCUUUCUUUUUCUUUCUUCUCUCCUUUUUUUCUUCUUACUUUCUUCCUUCUUUCUUUCUUCCUUCCUUCCUUCUUUCUUUCUUCCUUCCUUCCUUCUUUCUUUCUUCCUUCCUUCCUUCUUUCUUUCUUCCUUCCUUCCUUCUUUCUUUCUUCCUUCCUUCCUUCUUUCUUUCUUCCUUCCUUCCUUCUUUCUUUCUUCCUUCCUUCCUUCUUUCUUUCUUCCUUCCUUCCUUCUUUCUUUCUUCCUUCCUUCCUUCUUUCUUUCUUCCUUCCUUCCUUCUUUCUUUCUUCCUUCCUUCCUUCUUUCUUUCUUCCUUCCUUCCUUCUUUCUUUCUUCCUUUCUUUCAUUUCUCUUUACUCCUUCCUUUUUUCUUUCUUUCUGUCCCUUCUUCCUUACUGCCUUCUUUUCUUUUAUCUUCCUUUCUUUCUAUCUUCCUUCCUUCCUUCUUUCCUUCCUUCUUUCUUUCUUUCUUUCUUUCUUUCUUUCUUUCUUUCUUUCUUUCUUUCUUUCUUUCUUUCUUUCUUUCUUUCUUUCCUUCCUUCCUGCCUUCUUUCUUUCUUUCUUUCUUUCUUCUUUCUUUUAUUCCUUCUUUCUUUCCUCCUUUACUUCUUUCUUUCUUUUUAUCUUUUCUUUUUUUCUUCUCUCUCCAACUUUCCUUCUUUCUUUCUUCCUUCUUUUCUUCCUUCCUUCUUUCCUGUCUUUUCUUUUAUUUUUCUUUCCUUCUUUUGUUCCUUUUUUCUUUCUUUCAUUCUUCCAUCCUUACUUUCUUUCUUUCUCUCCUUCAUUCUUUUCCUUUUUCUUUCUUUUUUCUUUCUGUCUUUCUUUCGUUACUUACUUCUUUCUUUUUUCUUUUUUCUUUCCUUCUUUCUUCCUUCCUUCCUUCCUUCCUUUCCUUUUUUCGUUCUUUCCUUCAUACUUCUUCCUUGCGCAGAUAAGAGCGAAAUAAGUUUGUAGGAGUGUAAUCAGGACAGUAGUACAGCUGUAACCGAUAGAAGAAACACAGAAAACGAACGAAGCUUUUUUGUUUUCAGGAGAUAAAUCAUUUAAUGAAGAAAGAAACGCAGACCAGAAGGUUUUAGCCAGCAAGCUUUCUGUUGCCAUUUCUGCGUUUCUUUCUCAUGUUACAGCUUUCUGGUCUUAAUAUACUCCAACAAACUUCCUUUCGCUCUUCUGU
ensembl:lncRNA